rfam:Gossypium hirsutum cultivar TM-1 chromosome 22, whole genome shotgun sequence
CACGUCAGCGCGAGUUGUUGACAUGGCAACAAAUCGCGCCUUUUAUGACGCGAUUUGCUGCCACGUCAGCAAAGCGCGCUGACAUGG